ensembl:lncRNA
GUCUGGGGACAGCUAGAGCCAGCGGAAGGGCACGCCGUGGCAGUGCUGGAGUAGCUGUUCGGGUGGAACUGACUGGGCCAAACCGGACCAGACGUGAAGUAGACAGCGCCUGGAGCACCACCCGGUCCUCGCGCGCUCUGCGUGCGCGUACCGAGAGUCUCCCUCCCCCUAUCUUGAGCUGAGUCUAGGGCCUACUGGCGCAUGAGUCCUUGGCGUCCCGCGGCAUGGGCAUCUGCGCACCGGUUCUGUCCUGGCCUCAGAGGAACUUUGUCGCGUUCUCUAUCCGCUGGACUAGACGGGUGGGAUGCUCAACACUAUUGGGGCUCGGUUGUGGGGUUCCUGCAGGGCCGGUUGCAAUGGGUUUGGGGGAGGCUGUCCUGCCGCUGCUAUGUGGGCCAGUUUGGCCCCUGGCACUUCGUGAGCUGGCAGCGUCACCGGACAAAGGGUCCUAAGCUUUGGGGUGUCCCAGAAGUGGGCACAUGGGUUUACUUCCUCUCGAGUCCCACGGGAUCGCUUUCCCUCUUGACGGAUUCCGAGCCCGCCCGGUACAAGUGGCUCCUGCCUGGGACUCACAGGGCUAAUCCUGUCCUCCUGAUCUAAUCCGGAUCAGGACCUCGUCCCGGGGGAUGCCCCCACCUUCUAUUGUUCUGGGGCCCAGGUGCACCCCCAGGCUGAUGGUGACAGGCAGAGACGACGAAAAGAGCUCAGGCUGAUGGCCCUCUCUGGAAUCCCUGGAGAAUUCUGACGAGGGAGGUCCUGGGUCCUCUCUGUAGGGCCGCAAUGGCGGUGAGUCCCACAGGGCCGCCCAGCCCGCAGCUCGCUAAAGAUAGCUCUUCACUUCCUGGGGAAAAACCACCCCAACCGUCUUCAUGGAGGGAGAGUAGCAAAAAUCACCAACUUUGCCAGUGGGUCCCAGCCCUGGUAGCAACUGAACCCACAGCAUGGAAAGUGCUUUGGAAUGACACGAUCACUCCCGUUGAGUGGGCACCCAAGAAGCCAUCGGGAAUAUCGUGUCCGCCCAGUGCUCUUUCGGCACCUCCCAAACAGGGCCUCAUAGCCCUGGCCUGGCCGAACUUUUCCUCUCUCUAGAUUUCACUCCUCUCCAGAGCAAAGUUCACCAGUUGGAUUCAUUCAUUACUGGGGGAAGUGAAGUUUUACGUUCCUUUGAAACGAAAGCGUUUGGACAGACAAAAGCUUCCCUGCCACAUGCUCCACCUGAGAUCUGCUUAUUUGAGUCCUUUUUUUUCACAUUUCAUUGUCUUAAACUGGCCAGUUGCCUAAAGACUCAGCCGGAAACACCAGUUUAAAGGAAAAACCAUUAAAGGCCAGUAGUUCUGGAAAUUAUGAUGACUCUUAAUUCCUCAGGCAUCAAGAUGGGC